UCAUGAAUUCCUUGAUGCCUUCGUC
rnacentral:piRNA from 1 species